GAUGAACGCUGGCGGCGUGCCUAAUACAUGCAAGUCGAGCGAACAGACGAGGAGCUUGCUCCUCUGUCGUUAGCGGCGGACGGGUGAGUAACACGUGGAUAACCUACCUAUAAGACUGGGAUAACUUCGGGAAACCGGAGCUAAUACCGGAUAAUAUAUUGAACCGCAUGGUUCAAUAGUGAAAGACGGUUUUGCUGUCACUUAUAGAUGGAUCCGCGCCGCAUUAGCUAGUUGGUAAGGUAGCGGCUUACCAAGGCAACGAUGCGUAGCCGACCUGAGAGGGUGAUCGGCCACACUGGAACUGAGACACGGUCCAGACUCCUACGGGAGGCAGCAGUAGGGAAUCUUCCGCAAUGGGCGAAAGCCUGACGGAGCAACGCCGCGUGAGUGAUGAAGGUCUUCGGAUCGUAAAACUCUGUUAUUAGGGAAGAACAAAUGUGUAAGUAACUAUGCACGUCUUGACGGUACCUAAUCAGAAAGCCACGGCUAACUACGUG
rnacentral:rRNA from 1 species